AAGGAAGAUCCGGCUUGCAUGCCAGUUGGGGCCCCCUCCUCAUCAGGUGGCAAACUCCGUGUCAAGGAAGGCUUCCCACGACUGCCCAGGACGUUCCUAUCUCAGGGGACCAGACGGGGUCUUUAUGGACCAAGCCUGCGUGUAGGAGAACAAUGUGCUGCAGAAUUCCAGAGCAAUGAGGAAAGAGGGGGAAAAAAAAUAAAUGGAUUUAGAAGACGGAUUUCUAGCAGCAAGCAAUUAUCCG